GUAGCAGGCCCCUGUGGAGGAUUAACACAGUGGCUGAACACCGGGAAGGAACUGGCACUUGGAGUCCGGACAUCUGAAACUUGAAUUGACAAGCCGACAUCAGUCUCCAGAGUGAAUCCAAGGAGUGGACCCAAGACAUUUGUGUUCUGUGAUGUGGUGGCAUGUUACCUGUCAUCUCCGAUGCAUAACUCCUAAAGUGCGUCUGGGGCAGUUGUACAGAUUGCAGAGGAUAAUACUCAAGAUGUUCUCCAAGGCCAACUAGUCAUCAGUUUAUUCAUGUUUCUGGGAUUGGAUUCAUGAACUCAUCCUUUGAACUAUUUCAACAAGCUUUUUCAUGUAACUAAUCUGCGGAAGGUAGAAAGGGGAAAACUGUUGGGUGCUAAAAUGACAACUGGUUCAAGGUACAAUGGCGAAUAUUUUUAUUUCUGCAACUUUUCUUAGAGGUUGGAAACUGGACUGGGCAGGAAGAUUCCUUUUUGUAAGAUUAGUCUCCAGUUUUCAUCAAGCAGUUUAGUGGGGUAUUUUAGGCCCAGUUCCCUCUCCACAGUCCCCAAAGGUCUUCUGUUAACUUUAAAUCCGCAAAGAGAGAGAUCUCUGCCAAGCAGCAACUGCAAGAGCAUGUGGGUCAAUGUUACCAGCAGACACUCAAAGCCCAUUCCCUUUACUUCAACACCGCUUUAUAAAUUAUCUUAGAGACGUUGUCAGGUUGGUAUUAGAGGAGAAGCGUCAGAUAAUUAGGCAGCAGUCCAACAAUUAGGUUUUGUGGAACUUUUACUAUGUCAUCUAUUUAUUGGAAUUCCCCCUGGAUACCAGGACCCCCUCCAGCAGAGCUUAAAGUUAUAGUUACAGGAAGUACAAAUUCCUUAUGUGGAUCCCUGGAAGUGUGAUGAGAAGAACCACUGUUUCCAAGAUCUAUUUAUUCUAUUUAUCAGGCCUAUAAAAUCAUGUAAUGGCCAUGGCUUCAACUAGACUCC
rnacentral:lncRNA from 10 species